AUGAGAACUGACCGAGUAUCUACUGAGGCACAGUCCUGUACUUUCAUUUCUAAGUCACUAAACCCAAGUCCGGAAGGCAGGUGGCUGUCACAUCCCACUCCAGGUGCGCUAAAGACCCAGAGGAACAUUCAGACAUGAUUUUGAAUGUCAGAUGUCUGCAGGGCCUGUGACAGGCUGAACAGGAUGCUCUCGGUGGAGAAGGCUGUCACUUGGGUCCCGGUAGUUGCUGCCAUUCGGCAGUACAGGAAGUGCCGCAGAAUGGUCACACUCAUCGAGAGGCCAGCAUCAAGAUUUUCAAGUAAAAUCUCCUGAUUUUUUAAAUGUUGGAAAAACUGAAGACUAAACAAAAUACUGGAUUCAGCAGCCUGGAUUCAGCCAAGGAUUGCUCCAGCCUGACUUUUACAUUAAAACGUUUGAAUCCAA